rnacentral:rRNA from 1 species
UACGUAGGGUGCAAGCGUUAAUCGGAAUUACUGGGCGUAAAGCGUGCGCAGGCGGUUAUGUAAGACAGAUGUGAAAUCCCCGGGCUCAACCUGGGAACUGCAUUUGUGACUGCAUGGCUAGAGUACGGUAGAGGGGGAUGGAAUUCCGCGUGUAGCAGUGAAAUGCGUAGAUAUGCGGAGGAACACCGAUGGCGAAGGCAAUCCCCUGGACCUGUACUGACGCUCAUGCACGAAAGCGUGGGGAGCAAACAGGAUUAGAUACCCUGGUAGUCCACGCCCUAAACGAUGUCAACUGGUUGUUGGGAAUUAGUUUUCUCAGUAACGAAGCUAACGCGUGAAGUUGACCGCCUGGGGAGUACGGCCGCAAGGUUGAA